CAAAGAUUUAACCACAAACCUCUACAGGGUCUGAUGGAUGAGAAGUGAUCGCUCACCCCUCAGACAGGCAGAGACCAAAAGCACCGAGUUCCCACAGGUGGCAUUCCCCACAUUUACCUCUUUUGCAGAAGACACUGCAGUUUCAAGGAGUCAGCCCAUGAGGACUUACCAUUCACUAAAUGUUGUGUCUGCAUGAUGAAGGCACUGCAUAAAAACACCAGGGGAUGGAUGCAAACAAUGUGCUGGUGAGAGUGACAAUAAAACAGAGAUGACAACAUAAAGAGAGAAUGAUGAAUGUGUUAACACAGCUGGUGAUUUCUCUAAGCAACUCAGAACUGCUGUCAGAAUUGUUGAAACCUGCCAGAAUUUUUUUUCUUCUUUUCUUCCC